rnacentral:lncRNA from 1 species
UUCCUGAGAGCAAUCCAAAGUUAACAAGAAGAAUAUAUGGAAUCAUGAAUUGCUUCAAUUACAAAAUAAUGUAGUGUGUUAGUUGAAAUGGUUGAUAAUUUUUUUUUGAUGGGGAAGUAGCCCUUAAAGAGAAACGACUUCCCCAUAAAGUAUGAUGAGAAAGUAGCUUGCCUUUAAGUGGUUUCAGACGGGAAUCACUUCAAAUUUCUGCCCCAUGGAUCAGACCACGUAGGCAUCUUGCAAGGACUUCCCUUGGCAUGAUGUCUUGCAUGACAUCAGGACUCACAGACAUGGUUAUGUCGGCAGUGGGCAGGCCCAAAGGGGAUGGUUACGUUGUCCUGACUUUACUGACGUCAUUCUAGCAGGUCCGUUUAUUGUAAUGGAACUAAGAGGAUAAAGAAAGAGAUUAAAUAGAUAUAGAAUAAUCAAGAAAUUCUAAGAGUGGCAAAGAGAAAUAAUUGCUCGACCAUCUCUAUUGUUUUUCCCUGGAUAUAUAUAAUUUUAUAGAACACAAAUUCCAUAAUUUAUGUGAUAGAUAGAAAUACAAAUCUUAUAAUUUUAGAAAUAGCUAUAAGAUCUAUACAAUGAUAGAAGCCAAUGAUGAUUAUGGAGAGAUGAAAAU